rnacentral:rRNA from 1 species
GACGGAGGGUGCAAGCGUUGUUCGGAUUGACUGGGCGUAAAGGGCGUGUAGGCGGUUGGUCAAGUCUGAUGUGAAAGCCCGGGGCUCAGCUUCGGAAGGGCAACAGAAACUAGCCAGCUGGAGCGCGAUAGAGGAGGGCGGAAUUCCUGGUGUAGCGGUGAAAUGCGUAGAUAUCAGGAGGAACACCAAUAGCGAAGGCAGCUCGCUGGGACGUUACUGACACUGAGGCGCGAAAGCGUGGGGAGCGAACAGG